UAAAUAGCAUGUUAUUAAACAAUGAAUGGGUGAAAAACGAGAAGAAGGAGGAAAUCAAAAGAUACCUUGAAACAAAUGUAAAUGAGGACACAACAACCAAAAACCUGUGGGACACUAGGAAAGCAAUCAUUAGAGGGAAAUUCAUAGCAUUAUAGGCCUAUCUA